rnacentral:rRNA from 1 species
ACGGGAGGCAGCAGUGGGGAAUAUUGCACAAUGGGCGCAAGCCUGAUGCAGCGACGCCGCGUGAGGGAUGACGGCCUUCGGGUUGUAAACCUCUUUCACCAGGGACGAAGAGAAAUUGACGGUACCUGGAGAAGAAGCACCGGCCAACUACGUGCCAGCAGCCGCGGUAAUACGUAGGGUGCGAGCGUUGUCCGGAAUUACUGGGCGUAAAGAGCUCGUAGGCGGUUUGUCGCGUCGUUCGUGAAAUCUUGAUGCUUAACAUCAAGCGUGCGGGCGAUACGGGCAGACUUGAGUACUACAGGGGAGACUGGAAUUCCUGGUGUAGCGGUGAAAUGCGCAGAUAUCAGGAGGAACACCGGUGGCGAAGGCGGGUCUCUGGGUAGUAACUGACGCUGAGGAGCGAAAGCGUGGGUAGCGAACAGGAUUAGAUACCCUGGUA